rnacentral:rRNA from 1 species
UACAGAGGUCCUGAGCGUUGUUCGGAUUCACUGGGCGUAAAGGGUGCGUAGGUGGCAUGGUAAGUUUGAUGUGAAAGCUCAGGGCUCAACCCUGAAAUGGCAUUGAAUACUACUGUGCUGGAGGUUUGGAGGGGGGACUGGAAUUCUCGGUGUAGCAGUGAAAUGCGUAGAUAUCGAGAGGAACACCAGUGGCGAAGGCGAGUCCCUGGACAACACCUGACACUGAGGCACGAAAGCUAGGGGAGCAAACAGG